AUGCUCAUUUUGGUAGCACAUAUACAAAAAUUGGGACAUUACAAAAAUUAGCACCGCCCCUGUGCAAGGAUGACACAAAAAUCCAUGAAGCACUCCAUAUUUGG
ensembl:snRNA U6 U6 spliceosomal RNA